UUCAUCAAAAGCAGGCCUUCUGCAUACACACGCAAGACAAAUAGGACUGAGGGGUGAUGACGGAUACUGUAGGCCCGCGGUGAUUGGGAUGACCCUCCACUCACAUAGUUGAUCAAAGGCAAGUAAAACAAUCAGCCAGCCAUCAGCAACGAUGUAAUAUUAAACUCCCCAAACACCUCAUUUAAUUAAGUCAUUAUGAUCGAAAUCUCCUUACCAGAUCUUUUAAGUUAUACACUCAUAGACCUUGCCCUAAGAUAGCAGAAAAGAACUUCCGGAGGGAAAGCUGCUGUUAAAAAUUAUGAAUAAAAUAACAUCUCUUCCCUCUACCCCACAAAUCAAUCGCUCUCUAGAAGGAUACACUUCUAUCUGAUUUCCCCAGGAAGAGCUCAGAAAGCUGGGUGCAUCAUGCCUAGCAUCCUGUCCCUGAUUAGCCUGCUGCAGACAGCAAUCGAGGCAGAACACAGCUGGCAUAUAUGAUGUCAGCUUCUUUUGGGGCCGAUUGCUAUGAAGUCACAAACCCUACUUUUGUGAACCUGUUGCUGGCCAAACAAGCCUGAUCCAAAGCACACUGAAGAAAACGUUUGGCCGCUUGCAGGUGCAGUCCCAGCACCGGAGGGGAGGAGAAGUGAAGGGGAACUCGCUUACAGUGGGAAUACGUCAAUGUGCAGAGUGCCUGGUUACUACAGAGCAGAGAUUUCUGAGCCAGAUUCCAGACAAGAACAAGAUGGGGUUGCAUCCAGUACUCUACAAUUUGCUCACCCUGGAAGUAGAAUGUUGAAUUCUGUAAAGACAGUAGUUAAAAUGCAUGCAUCCGGAUUGCUUCUGAGCUCCUCUGCAGUGGAUGACCACGUAGCAGAACCAAAUGUGUUCCUCUCCAAUGGGGAACAAGGGAUCCCUUCUCCUCCUGUCACCUGUGCAGAUACUGUGCCUUUCAUUUCUUCCAUGAGGCUGCCAGGCUGA
rnacentral:lncRNA from 1 species